GACGAACCGUGCAAACGUUGUUCGGAUUCAUUGGGCGUAAAGGGUGCGUAGGCGGCGCGGUAAGUCGGGUGUGAAAUCCCCAGGCUUAACCUGGGAACUGCAUUCGAGACUGCAUUGCUAGAGUAUGGGAGAGGGAAGUGGAAUUUCCGGUGUAGCGGUGAAAUGCGUAGAUAUCGGAAGGAACAUCAGUGGCGAAAGCGACUUCCUGGACCAAUACUGACGCUCAUGUGCGAAAGCGUGGGGAGCAAACAGG
rnacentral:rRNA from 1 species